ACACAGCGAUUUGCAAGUGAAUGCGAGGGAGGGAGCAUCCGCGCGGAGGGCUGCGCAUGAAAGGCGUCCCCUCCCCCGCAGGGCAGAAAGACUCUCUGUUUCCAGCCUAAGCCAUUCAUUUUAUGCUGGUGAUAGGUAAUAAAACGCCUGGCAGAUGAGACGAAGGUCCUCUGUGGACAUAUCACCAUGAACAUGUCCAAUCUCAUCUGUUCACGGAUGCUAUGCAGAGACAGAUCGGGUUCAUUCUUGGCUGAAUGAUGAAGGGUUUCUUGUGUUGAAGCAGAGUAGAAGAAUAUCUCCUGAGUCCAGUAAUCAACACCAGGACCCAAGGUGUCCCGUGUACUCUUCUAAAUACUCCUAUGUGGACAUUCUUAUUUUCAUUUGAACUAUUUUAAAUUUGAGUCAAGUUUUUCAACAUUAUUUCAUAUACAAUUGUGGAAUCAUUUUAACUUCUGACAACUAUUUUGAAUGUAAAAAUUAAAAUUUAGUGUGUGCUAAUUUUAUGAAUAUCAGAUACAUGAAUAAAUUCCCUUCUUUACUAAAAUGUGAUUAUUUUAAGGAAACAUAGUCUGCUGAUAGCCUGGUUGUAUUAAUGAUACACAGUAUUUUGUCUUUUAAUAAAGUAAACUCUGGGAGUCAGUGUCCCCAUUCUCUAGGAUCUUGUAUAUUUCUAAAUCAAUAGCAAUUUCUUCUUUUUUGCAUUUUAAUACAAGACAGAGGUUUUCCCUGUGUGUCUAUUGCAUAUGAUCACAGACUAAAAGAGAUGUCAAUUAUAGUUCUCUCCACACAUAUCACAUUGUGCACAGACCAACCUGCCAUUUCAUCCUUUUCUCCCAAAUAUAUUUCACUUUACUUACAUAUAAGUCAUCACAUCUAAGUAAACAUUUUCUUGAUAUAUUUAAUAUACAUUUUUCUUCUUGCUGUUAGAGAGUUUUAGUUUGUGUAGGCCUUAUUUUAGGGUUGUUGAGAUGGUUCAGCAAGUAAAGAUGCUUGUCAGCAUAAUUAAAGACCUGUUUGUUCUCCAGAACUCACAUGGUAGAAACAGGUAAAUAACUUUCUUAAGUUGUCCACUGACCUAAACAGCCAUGAUGUGGCACCCUAGAAGAGAAACACUCAGGUACACACAAUAUAGUGAUGAUGAUGAUGAUGAUGAUGAUGAUGAUGAUGAUGAUAACUCAAUGUAAAAUAACCCAAAAUGCUGGUCAAUGGUGGCACACACCUUUAAUCCCAGUACUCUGGAGGCAAAGGCAGGUGGAUCUCUGAGUUCAAGGCCAGCCUAGUUUACAAAGUGAAUUCCAGGGAAGCCAGAACUGUUACACAGAGAAACCCUGUCUUGAAAAAAAAAAAAACAAGAUGAAUUUUAUUAUUUCAUAUAGUCAUGAUUUAUACCCUAUAUAUAGUUGGUGUUAUUCAUGUGACUUUUUUCUCUUGUGUUAAAUUUUAUUCCAAAAUAAUUUAAUAUUCAUGCAUUAGCUUUUAAAGAUAAUGAUACUCAAAGAUAGGGAGAAAAUUAUUAGGUAAUUUAAAGUUGUUUAUUGAAUUUUUAUAACCUAUCUAUUGAUUCCACAUCUCCACUUAUGGCCAGUUUUAGAAUUGUGGUAUUGAGUCAUAUUCUUUCUAAUGUCUAAAUUUCCCAUGUUCAGAUGGUUGGAUGUUAUGCCAAAAAAGCGAGAUCACAUUCAUUCCAUGCAACUUGUAGUUCUGUUUAUAACUUUAAAAAAAAAGCUUUUGACAAAUAUUAUACCAAAUAUUAUUUGACAUAAAACAGAGGUCCUGCUAUCUCCCCUACUUCUUUCUAUAAGUCAGGAUUUUGAUUAGAAGAAAAUGUAACAAUCCAUCUUGAAACUCAAUUGUUAUGUUUUUUUACAACAGAAAGUGCUAACGUUUAUAUAAUAUUUAUUGAAUUACUUUUCAACAAAUAACUUCUUAAUUCUUUGUAAAAAGCUUUUGUUCAAAAGACCAUUAGCUUUGGUCUCUUAUUAUUUCUGCUAAUUAUUCUACACAGGAAACUGGAACAAAAAUUAUGUAGUAUAAAGUAUCUGUAUUUCAAUUUAUUAUGUGACUUUUAUUUCCUUAUUUGUUCAAAUUCUAUUAAGUUGAAUAAAAUGAAAAAUCUCAGAAACUUGUUUCACUAAACCAACUGGCCAGAGAGGAGAACUUAGCGUAGGGAUACAUCUAGAUGCUGCACACAGAUUGUACACAUAUUCAUAAUUACCCUUAAUCAGUGUAUCCAUGGGAGGACAUUUGCAAAAUGGCUGAAAGGAUCUAGCUGAUGAAAAAUAUUUCCUGAAGUGAAUGUGCCAAACUAAACCAUUUUUUCCCUCCAUGAAGCCAGAUUUGUAUCCAUCUACACCAUCUGUUCCUCCAGAAAAUGGAAAAUUAGCUCUAUGUUGACCUGGCAAGAGUUACUUCCAUUAUCUCCAACUGGUUCAUUAAAAAAAUGCUGGGGUUCCUACUAUGAAAACAUAACAAUAACAUGAUGCUACUUAAAGAAAAACAAAUGCAGUCACUAAAUCACUUUUACAAUGUACAUUUCUGUCUUCAACAUGUGAUGUCAUUAUCUUAUUGUGCCUUAUUGUCUUAUCAAAUAUUUCCUUCACUGAUAACAUUGCAUAAAAUCAAUCUUCCCCAUUCCCUGGGAACUAAUGUUUCAGUUUCCAUCAAAUCACAUUUAACAAGUAUCCAACAAAGUUUUUUUAAAGGUAUUUUAAAGUAAUAUCUAGUUGCAAUCUUCAUUUUAAAAAAGGACAUUUUUUUUAAAAGUAGAAUAGCAUACAUCUAAUAAAAAGUAAUGUCAGAUAUGUUGGGUUGAUAGUAUUAAGUAAUUAAAAAAAUAAUCAAAUUUUACAAUUUUAGUACUCAUCAAAAUGCCAUGUGGGUAUUUAACAAAAAUGUUAAGAAAAUUAACUUUGUAAAAAUUAAUUAAAAAUGGGUGUUUGUUGUCGUAAUAUUGUAAAAUUUGAAACAUGUAUACUUUUCAUGAAGUUAACUUAGCAAAAGCCAACAAAGGAACAUAACAGAUUGUAACAAAUUAUCUAACAUUUGUGAAUGAAUUACAUUAAUUUAAUUUCAUUUUCUCAGUUUUAUCAGAUCUCUUCAAACUAAGUUUUUGAAUAACUAGUCAUAUUAGAAUGGGGACCCUUAUAACAUAAACAGGAAAACAUAAAUAAUAUACUAUGAGAUUAUUUGUUAGCACUUCAAUAAGUUUUAUCACUAAUGAAUGACCUUUCAAUAAGAGACAUAAAAAGUUUCAGAAUACAUUAGUACACAUUUUUGAAUAACAAUAAAAAAUGUGUUACAUAUGUGAAAAAUUUAAAUAAUGUUACAAAUCCCAUUAAUACAUUAAUGAAUCUUGCAUGAUUUGCAUAUUGAAAAUUUAAUAUCUUUGAAAGUGAAAUUAUUACUGUUUACUGAAAAACAUAAACGGAGAGUAGAGUGUAGAAAUUCUUAGGAGCUUCACAUGUGAUGAAGAGAAUUGUACUGAGAGCAGAUGUUUAGUCAGCAUGUAAAAAAACAAAACAAAACAGGAACCAAGGUAGGCAACCAUGACACAUGUCUAAUAAAAUUGUCACCCAGAUUUGAGAAUUGAAACCAUCUCAAAAAAGGGGUAAAACUUGGUGAGAAGAGAUCUGGGCCCAUUCCUAGAAUAUCGCCAUACAAUACUGUCUCCCUGGUGCACAAGGCAGAGGGGAAACUAGAUGGGAUGUAUAGGAAGGCUCUGUAUACUAGGAAUGAGUGGCAGGUAGAAUAUUAUGGAGCAGGUUGUGUUUUCAAAACAACAUCUUCGUAUUCAGGGAGUCUGGGUGAAACACACACAUACACACACACACACACACACACACACGCACACACACACUUAUAGGGAUUUGACCACUACCUGGAGAAUUUUGGUGAAUAUGAGAAGCUCCUUGUUGUAAGCCAUCCCACUCAACCUCCACUGAUUAAGUCUUAAGCACCUCCAUAUCCUGAAGGUGAUGUUUUCUUUCCUACUCAUAUAUAUAUAUGUAUAUAUCCCGGUUUCAGUCAUUUUUCUUCUCAAACACACAGUUUAAUAUGUUUAUGCAAUAUCUUCAAAUGAGAAAUAUUGAAGCAAUUAAGAAAAAAAUGUGAGCUCCAUUAUUUCAAUGCAAUAAUUACUUUGAAAAUGAGACAAUCACCUCUUUUUUUUAAUGACAUCUUUAGUUACACUUCUUUUCUCUGCUCCUACCUCACUACCAUAAUGUUGAAUCAUCAUGUUUGUUGGGUUGGCCAUGAGUUUACACGUUUCACUUUUGUUAAUUGGGGUUUCAUGUUCCAGGUAGCCUGGUGUGUAAGAAAGUGAUGUUUUCCCUAGCUAUCAAAACAGUAAAUAUAUAUUUUAACUGGUUCUUUUUGCUUUCUACAAAGGAUUUAUUACAAAACUCUAUCUGCGUAGAGAUUCUUUCAAAACAAUUGAAACUGAAAAGACAAUGUGUAACAUGAAGACAUAAAGAACCUCUCCAGAGAGAGAGAAGUGAUGGAAUUCUCUUUUAAUUAAAACGUUUUUGAAGGACUUAAGGAAGGCUUAGAGUCACUUUAAACUUUCUUUUCCAUUACAUUACUUUGUUAUAUUCACUCUGUAUAUUCUCAUUGGUUUUUUUCCUUCAAACUUCAAGGCAAUGAUUUUCAGAUUUCAUAUUUCUCUACUCCCUCUUUUAUUUAUUGGAGUAAUUACAUGUAAAUUUGCAUAUUUAGGAUCAUCUAGUUAGCUCUAAGUUCAUAUUCCCUAAUAUCAAAUGCCCAGUGAGCAGUGCCUGAUAACACUGUACUUAGGCUAUGAUGCAGACUAUGUCUGUGUGGACAGAUAUGUAAACAUAUGGAUUUUCUUUCACUAUUAUCUCUGAAAAAAAUAUUUCCUUGCCAAUGCCAUUCUUCUGUGGUUUGAAAUGUCCGUUUACCAACCUAACUGUCGUGAUAGAACUCUCCUCCAAUGAUGAUGGAAGCGGAUGCCGAGAUCCACGGCCAGGUCCCAGGUGGAGCUCCGGGAGUCCAAUGGGCGAGAGAGAGGAGGGAUUGUAUGAGUGAGAGAUGUUGAGACCAUGACUGGAAAAAGCACAGGGACAAAUAGCCAAAUUAGUGGAAACACAUGAAAUAUGAACCAAUAGCUGAGGAGCCCCCAUGGAACUGGACCAGUGGAUAAGUGAGACAGUUGAUUAGCUUGAACUUUUUUGGAGGCCCCCAGGCAGUGGGAUCGGGACAUGUCCUUGGUGCAUGAGCUGGCUUUUGGGGGCCUAGGGGCUAUGUGGGGUCACUUUGCUCAGCCUGGGUGAAGGGAG